UACGGAGGGUGCGAGCGUUGUCCGGAAUCACUGGGCGUAAAGGGCGCGUAGGCGGCCUGAUAAGUAGGGGGUGAAAUCCUGCGGCUUAACCGCAGGGCUGCCUUCUAAACUGUCAGGCUGGAGCACAGUAGAGGCAGGUGGAAUUCCCGGUGUAGCGGUGGAAUGCGUAGAGAUCGGGAGGAACACCAGUGGCGAAGGCGACUUCCUGGCCUGUUCUUGACGCUGAGGCGCGAAAGCUAGGGGAGCAAACGGG
rnacentral:rRNA from 1 species